AAAAGCUCAUGCAGUUCCGCCCCUACCACGAGCAGGGACACCUUCCACUAAAUCAGGUUGCUCCAAGCCCCAUCCAACCUGGCCUUGAACAUUUCUAGGGAUGGGAUGGGGAAGCACAGCUGGUUUGUAACUUACAGGAAGACCUGUGUGGGCCCAAGAGCUAGAACAGAGACAGCUACACCACUGCAAAAGCAUCUUAUGUCAAGCCCUUCCUAGGCAUGGGCAGGACCCCAGCAGCUUGCCAACAACGCACUUCAAAGCCGCACACCAGCUCUGGAUGAAACACCACCACCGCAGCAUGCCGGGGACUUUCCUCUUCCAAGCCGGCUUGAUGGAUGGGCAGCAGUGGAGACAGAAAUCUUCCUGUUAUACUCACAGGGCAGGUACUGAAUCAGCAACCAUGGUGGCUACACAAGCUGCACCUCUCUGAACAAGCCUGAGACAAAAAAGAAGUGUUUCAGUGUA